rnacentral:rRNA from 1 species
UACGGGGGGGGCAAGCGUUGUUCGGAAUUACUGGGCGUAAAGGGCUCGUAGGCGGCCAACUAAGUCGGACGUGAAAUCCCCAGGCUCAACCUGGGAACUGCGUCCGAUACUGGAUGGCUUGAAUUCGGGAGAGGGAUGCAGAAUUCCAGGUGUAGCGGUGAAAUGCGUAGAUAUCUGGAGGAACACCGGUGGCGAAGGCGGCAUCCUGGACCGGUAUUGACGCUGAUGCGCGAAAGCCAGGGGAGCAAACGGG